rnacentral:misc_RNA from 1 species
CCCUAGCCCCGGUAGCAGUGAAAACCCCAUGCAGGUCGAAAACCACUUUUACUGGUAGUGGCAGAGCGACCGCAGGAAGCUCCUGCCAGUGCCUAGUAAAAGGGUUUGAGACCAAAUGGGUUGUAGCGAAUAACGGGAAAAGCU